GAUGAACGCUGGCGGCGUGCUUAACACAUGCAAGUCGAACGGUGAAGCAGAGCUUGCUCUGUGGAUCAGUGGCGAACGGGUGAGUAACACGUGAGCAACCUGCCCUGGACUCUGGGAUAAGCGCUGGAAACGGCGUCUAAUACUGGAUACGAGACGUGGCCGCAUGGUCAACGUUUGGAAAGAUUUUUUGGUUCAGGAUGGGCUCGCGGCCUAUCAGCUUGUUGGUGAGGUAAUGGCUCACCAAGGCGUCGACGGGUAGCCGGCCUGAGAGGGUGACCGGACACACUGGGACUGAGACACGGCCCAGACUCCUACGGGAGGCAGCAGUGGGGAAUAUUGCACAAUGGGCGAAAGCCUGAUGCAGCAACGCCACGUGAGGGAUGACGGCCUUCGGGUUGUAAACCUCUUUUAGCAAGGAAGAAGCGAAAGUGACGGUACUUGCAGAAAAAGCGCCGGCUAACUACGUGCCAGCAGCCGCCGUAAAAC
rnacentral:rRNA from 1 species